GACGAACGCCGGCGGCGUGCCUAAUACAUGCAAGUCGAGCGGAAGUUGAAGAGCUUGCUCUUCAACUUUAGCGGCGGACGGGUGAGUAACACGUGGGCAACCUGCCCUGCAGAUCGGGAUAACUCCGGGAAACCGGUGCUAAUACCGAAUAGUUUUCGCCACCUCCUGGUGGCGUACGGAAAGACGGUUUCGGCUGUCACUGCAGGAUGGGCCCGCGGCGCAUUAGCUAGUUGGUGGGGUAACGGCCCACCAAGGCGACGAUGCGUAGCCGACCUGAGAGGGUGAUCGGCCACACUGGGACUGAGACACGGCCCAGACUCCUACGGGAGGCAGCAGUAGGGAAUCUUCCGCAAUGGACGAAAGUCUGACGGAGCAACGCCGCGUGAGUGACGAAGGUUUUCGGAUCGUAAAACUCUGUUGUGAGGGAAGAACAAGUACCAACUAACUACUGGUACCUUGACGGUACCUCACCAGAAAGCCACGGCUAACUACGUGCCAGCAGCCGCGGUAAAAC
rnacentral:rRNA from 1 species